rnacentral:rRNA from 1 species
UACGUAGGGUGCAAGCGUUGUCCGGAAUCAUUGGGCGUAAAGAGCGUGUAGGCGGCUCGAUUAGUCCGCUGUAAAAGUCCAGGGCUCAACCCUGGGAUGCCGGUGGAAACUGUCGGGCUAGAGUCCGGGAGAGGCGAGUGGAAUUCCUGGUGUAGCGGUGAAAUGCGCAGAUAUCGGGAAGAACACCGGUGGCGAAGGCGGCCAUCUGGACGGAUACUGACGCUGAGACGCGAAAGCGUGGGGAGCAAACAGG